rnacentral:lncRNA from 1 species
GACCUGCGCAGCUGGGCGACGCAUGCGUGUGGCACGAGGUGUCCUGGGGCGCGCGGGGUUAUUUCCGGUGUGCGCUACCUGUGAAGCGAGAGCAGCCCUGCCAGUGCUCCCUGGCCUCCCCUUCCAGACACCCUGAGCUACUUCCUGCCUUCUCCCCCAGCCUCCUAGAGCUGAGGGUGGGAAUUCUGAAGCCCAAGGACAGAGUCCUGACUCAGAACCGUGUCCUUGACCAAGAGGAAGUUGGGUGAGACCCUAAGGCAACAUGGCUCCAAGGCCUGGGUCCCAGAACAGUCAC